GCCGGCCGUGGCCACUUGCAUGGCGGCCAUCCGACCCGUCCCGGCGUCCUACUCGACCUACAAGUCCUCCCUGAACCCUCCUUGACGAACCCUAGCGCCCUAAGUGCAUUCCCCCUUUUCCCCUUGCUAGAUCCGCCCACUCCCGAUAGCCUCCGCCGCUGACCGCCGUCGAUCCCGCGCUCUCCGACGACCCAAGCCCCGGCGAGAUGUCAUGGAGCUUCGCCGCCCUUCGCUGCGUCGCCUGAGCCGAGCCACUGGAGACGACGGGCUCCACAUCGAGCGGAUCGAGCUCGUCUCUGUCUUCUGCGUCGCCGGUGAUCGCCGCUGUCUUCGUCAUCCCCUGCUGCUACAAAGCUAUCGAGGGCCUUUCUUGGCCGCUCGGUGAGCUCCUCUCUCCCUCCAUUCCUUCUUCCCGCGGCCGCAUUCGUCCCAAGCUAGUUUGCCGCCGUUGUCGUGGUUGUCGUGCCUCUGCUUCCGCCGGCGUGCUCGAAGUCGUGCUAUUGCUCUGCGUCGAGCUCAGAUGAGCUCGGGAUCGUGCUCAUCACGUUCGUGCGGGCCCGUUGCACCCCUCCCUCGUGCUCUGUCGAGCCCCGUAGCGCUCAGUUCCAGCCAGCACAGCAUCUCGCACCACCGCCAUUCGACACGACGUCGUCCGGCCAUUCGAACGCACCCUGCCCGCGCCCUCACGCGCAUGUGCCCAGGCUUGUCCGCGGCCCGGCCCUGCUUCCACAACCGCGCCCUGCUGCUGUUGCCGCUUGCCACUGCUGCUUGCGCCUCCGCCGCUUGCUUGUACUGCCGCUGGUACUCUGCGUACUGCUGUUGUGGCCUGAUGCUGCCACUGCCGCUUGCCGUCGCCCACCGCGGAGCCACUGCCAUAGCCGCCCCGCGCUCGCGCACCGCGUGCCCGCACUGCCGCGCUCGGCGCUACUCCCCCUCGCCUGCCGUUGCGGCUGCCCCGCCUAUGCACGCCUGCAGCGCCCGAGCCAUGCCACUGGCCAACGCUGCUCUAUUGUACUACUACUAUCUACUAUAGCUGCUACUAGUUAGCUUUUGGUUUUCUAUGUUGACUAAGCCCCUAAACAGCCCCUAAUCAGUGAUUAAACAGUUUUUAAUAUGUGUAUAAAUAAUAUGAGUAGGUAGUACACUUGACGAGGCUCAAAUGUUUCCAUGGGACCAAAUCCACUUGAUACAUGGUUUAAAUCCUACAAAAAUCACAAAAUGCUAUCUUCUUUUAACCCAAGCAUUGUGUGUUCUGCGUGUGAGUGUUCUGUGUGUGUGCGUGAGUGCGUGUGGUGUGGGGUGUGUGGCCGGCCGUGCUAGUUAGUUUUGUUAGUACUGUAGUUGUUAAUUAGUCUAAUAGUAGAUGGCAUGCGGGACCAACUGUUUAUAUUAAAAUGCUAAACUAGAUUUAGAAUAGAUAAGUCCAUGACAAGUAGGCCACUAUUCACUUUGACUAGUCAAUGCUGACUUGGCUGUUGACUAAGUCAACUGGGCCCUGGCCCCGCAUGGCAGCUUCUCUGUACCUCUGGCUGGGUACAAUUUUGGGUACCCAUAGCCUUUUUUAUUUCUUUUAAUUUCUAAUUAGUAAUAAAUCCAGGAAUUUCAUAAAAACUUUAAAUCUUUGAAAAUUCAUAGAAAAUAAACCGUAACUUGGAUGAAAAUGUCUUCUACAUGAAAGUUGCUCAGAAAAAACCAACAAAUCCGAAUACGUUAUCUCUUUUCCUGUCAAAUGCCUCUAACUAUCUGAACAUAGAACUUUCCCCCUCUGGUCGUCUGUCUGACACAAGUCCGGAACCGGGAAUACCUUCCCGGUUGAAUUCCCCCUUCACCUGUUUCGUGCAGCACUACUUUAGAACACUCCUAGCGCUGCGUGUUGCCAUGUUAUGCUUUGUGAUGCUUUUUUGCUUUAUAUUUAUUGUUUCUUCCCCCUCUUCUCUCCGGUAGACCCCGAACCGAUGCUCCCCCCGUGAUCGACAACGUCGACGACGACCCCUCCUUGCCAGAGCAACCAGGCAAGCAAACCCCUUUGAGCAUUCCGAUAUCACCCAUUUCUUUCCCUCUAAUGCUUGCAUUAGAACUGCUACUCUUUUCUGUAUGAUCCUACUCUGAUGCAUAGCCUGUUGUUGUUACCUACUUUCAUACCUUACUUGCUUAUCCUAAACUGCUUAGUAUAGGAUGGUUAGUGAUCCAUCAGUGACCCCCACCUUGUCCCAGUUGCCCCGCUUUAUGUUCGAUGACUCGAUCAACGUGAAUGAGGCCCAGGCCCCGACACCGCACAUCACCCCCCCUUAGUUGUAUGACUCUGUAGAGUUACCAUCGAGUGUCGAGGGUGGAACCUCUUACAUCACUCCUGAUGAGAUGUCCGUAGUGUAGCUUUACGGUCGAGGUUACCGAGGGUGAUUUCCUCCUUAACCACUUCCGUUACGGCUCUGUCGUGCAACCCUUCAAACGUGAACCUCGAGGGUGGAUCCUCUUACGUUCACCUUGAUGACAACAUCGAGUGGAAUUCACCGGAGGUGAUUCCUCGGGUUUUCCCCUUGGUGUUAGACACACAGUUACUAUGGUUACUAUGACUUUGCACUGAACCAUGUGACUAGAGACGGGUUGACCCUGAGUGGUACCCGCACGAGCUUAAUUACGAGUGAUGUGGAGUCGGUUGACCUGGAAGCUGCCCGCGAGAUACUUACGAGGCCUGGCCGGGCAUCCUUAGCCCUUGCCCGCAAGUACUCGAGACGGGGCGAUGGGGUCACAUCGAUCGUGAGUCUCUGCUCAUUACCGCGCGUUCCUAAUCCACUAUGAUUUGGAUAUUUGAGCCGAGGGGCCUCUGGCCUGAUAGCACUAACCAUCACGUGGGCAUAGUAUGGGCGUUCUGCGUCGUAUACAUCAGCCGAAGCUUAAAUGACGUCAGCGACUGAGCAGCGCGCGCCGGGUUGGACUGGAAAGCACCUACCUUGUUGAAGGAGGUAGCUAGGUCUGCUCACCGACCGCGUUCGCAACGUGCAGGAGUUCCCGGGGAGAUGGCCCAUGACCCCUCGGGGCAUAGGUUUAGUCCGGCGUGCUGGCCUCUCUUUUAAGCCUAGGUCGGGUUGUGGCAUAUUGUUUGGCCGAGGCCGGGCAUGACCCAGGAAAGUGUGUCCGGCCGGAGUUAAUCAAGCAUGGUGGGUAAGUUUGUGCACCCCUGCAGGGAAGAAAACAUCUAUCGAUAGCCUGUCCUACGGUAACGGACACUUGGAGUUGUAUCCUGCUCGAUACAACUAGAACUGGAUACUUGUGAUGAGAACUGGAUGGUGAUGAGAAUUGGAAUGUGUUGACACUUGGAUAGUAUGGCUCUGGGAUUGCUUUCUCGCAGGGAGUCGAGAAAGGAUCUCUGGCCGAGGUUGAUUGUGGUACUCAAACAUCAACAAGAACAUUGGAAGCAUAAUGCUAAAUGUUUCUCGUUCAUUUAUCCAAACACCGUUGUAUAUGUAACAUCAUGAAUUCCCUCACCCCUUUACCUAUUUGGUUAUCUAAUUACUAUCUUGUCAUGGAUAUCAUCCGCUGCUUGUCCUUGGGAAGGAUAUACCCCUGAAAUUUGUGUUUAAACAGAUUUUCCUUUCCAUUGUUCUGUUUAAUAUGAAGAUCACCUUUUCCUUUCCAUUGUUUUGUUUAACCUUUCUGGUGAUCUAUAUGAUCUAAGCAGUAAUAUUCUUCUACUUAUGUAAACACCUUGGUGUACGACCGUGUCAGUAAGACCCUGUUGCUUUUCUUGAUAGCAUUCUGGUAACCACCGAUGGACGAGAACUUUGCCUAUUGGUCCGCCUCGUUCAACGAGCAGGAAAAUGGUUCCCUUCGUCCCUCACCCUUGGUACUAUUGGUUGUUGCCGACAUAAUCAGUAGUCUAUCCUCUGACAUGCCUUGCUUACAUGAUCAUGCAAGACGUCAACCCCCUUCCUACUUUUAACCCACAUGGUGGGCCCAUAACCCACAGUUCCACAGGAUCGAAACCUGACUCUCCCGUACCCCCUGUUUCUAAGGUUAUUCCUCACGCUUGGCUUCGUAUCAUGUCACGAGCCACCUUCCGAGAGAUGAUCUAUCCCUGAUACUCUGGACCCCUUUCUCACACUCUGUUCAGGUAUCAAUCGUUUGUCCAUCCGCUUUUAACUUCCUAUUGUACCUUCAUACUUUGCUCUUGAUGACUUUCUUGAAUAUCAACUCGAGAGAUGCCUCUAUGCCACGUUCACCGAGAUAACCCCCAGGUACCUAUCUUGUGUGGAGCUCCGUCCUUCCGGAGUCUUUCCCCCUGACUCCACCCUUAAAUCUCGGGACGAGAUUUCUUAUAGUGGAGGAGAUUUGUGAUGCCCGGAUAAUUAAGCUACAACAAUCCCAAGUUAAUGAUGCCAUAUCAUCAUUUUAACUAUUGCUAAAUCCCCCUUUGAUUCAAUCCGGUUCAAUUUCAAAUUAAAGUCAAAAUUCAAAUUUCUCAAACAUGCAAAAUAAAAUGUUCAAAGUGUGUCAAAUAAUCUCUGGAUAUUUGUCAUGUUGGAACCAACCUCUUCUGGAUUCCCAAAGUGCCCCUGGAAAAUUAUAUAAUGGUCCAACUACAACAAACGUAACCUUUUCAAAAUAAACAAAUAUUUAUGAGUUUCCCAAUAACUCAAUACUUUAUGUUUGGCUCCAAGAUAUUGUGCUUGAAUUUUGUGCCAAAUUUCAAGCUGAAGUAAAUUCAUUUACUAUAGCAAGUAGAAAUCAGUGGUAGAAAUGUAAAGAAACGAGAAAAGAGAGAGGAAGUAGAUGACCUAAUCUACUGGCACCGUGGCCCAUUUAGCAAAAAUCGGCCCAGCUAGUCCCACACGCCCUCCUCUUCUCGCUACAGGAGGCUGGGAUGGCCGUGGCGGCCAUCCGCUGGCCGUGGCCAUUUGUGUGGCGGCCAUCCGACCCCUCCCAGCGUCCUACUCGACCUGUUACUGUUUUCUAUAUGAUCCUACUCUGAUGCAUAGCCUGUUGUUGUUACCUACUUUCAUACCUUACCUGCUUAUCCUAAACUGCUUAGUAUAGGAUGGUUAGUGAUCCAUCAGUGACCCCCACCUUGUCCCAGUUGCCCCGCUUUAUGUUCGAUGACUCGAUCAACGUGAUCGACGCCCAGGCCCUGACACCACACAUCACCCCCCUUAGUUGUACGACUCUGCAGAGUUACCAUCGAGUGUCGAGGGUGGAACCUCUUACAUCACUCCUGAUGAGAUCUCCGUAGUGUAGCUUUACAGUCAAGGUCAUCGAGGGUGAUUUCCUCCUUAACCACUUCCAUUACGGCUCUGUCGUGCAACCCUUCAAACGUGAACCUCGAGGGUGGAUCCUCUUACGUUCACCUUGAUGACAACAUCGAGUGGAAUUCACCGGGGGUGAUUCCUCGGGUUUUCCCCUUGGUGUUAGACACACAGUUACUAUGGUUACUAUGACUUUGCACUGAACCAUGUGACUAAAGACGGGUUGACCCUAAGUGGUACCCGCGCGAGCUUAAUUGCGAGUGAUGUGGAGUCGGGUUGACCUGGAAGGUGCCCGCGAGAUACUUACGAGGCAUGGCCGGGCAUUCUUAGCCCUUGCCGCAAGUACUCGAGACGGGGCGACGGGGUCACCUCGAUCGUGAGUCUCUGCUCGUUACCGCGCGUUCCUACUCCACUACGAGUUGGAUAUUUGAUCCAAGGGGCCUCUGGCCCUUAUAGCACUAACCAUCACGUGGGCAUAGUAUGGGUGUUCUGCGUCGUAUACAUCAGCCGAAGCUUAAAUGACGUCAGCGACUGAGCGGCGCGCGUCGGGUUGGACUGGAAAGCACCUACCUUGUUGAAGGAGGUAGCUAGGUCUGCUCACCGUCCGCGUUCGCAACGUGCAGGAGUUCCCGGGGAGAUGGCUCAUGACCCCUCGGGGCAUAGGUUUAGUCUGGCGUGCUGGCCUCUCUUUUAAGCCUAGGUCGGGUUGCAGCGUAUUGUUUGGCCGAGGCCGGGCAUGACCCAGGAAAGUGUGUCCGGCCGGAGUUAAUCAAGCAUGGUGGGUAAGUUGGUGCACCCCUGCAGGGAAGAAAACAUCUAUCGAUAGCCCGUCCUACGGUAACGGACACUUGGAGUUGUAUCCCGAUCGAUACAACUAGACUGGAUACUUGUGAUGAGAACUGGAUGGUGAUGAUAAUUGGAAUGUGUUGACACUUUAGUAUGGCUCUGGGAUUGCUUUCUCGCAGGGAGUCGAGAAAGGAUCUCUGGCCGAGGUUGAUAACACUUCUUUACUUUAUGCUACUCUACUCCCUCCUAUUGCUGCAAGAUGGUGGUUUCCAGAAGAUGCUAGUCUUCGAUAGGCUAGGAUUUCCACUUCCCUUCUGGCAUUCUACAGUUUAGUCCACAGAGACAACCCAUUCCUUUGAUACAUAUGCAUACUUAGUUUAGAUCUGAUGUAAGUCUUGCGAGUACUUUGGAUGAGUACUCAAGGCUGCUUUGCUACCUCUUUUCCCCCAUACCAGAUUAUUGCGACUAGAUGACGGAUCCCAGGAGCCAGACGACACCACUGAAGACUAUGGCUACCCCGAGGGUGCCUACUACUACAUGACGGUCGCUGACGACUUGGAGUAGUUAGGAGGCUCCCAGGCAGGAGGACUUGCCUUUUCAAACUUGUUUAACUUAUGUCUGUACUCAGAUAUUGUUGCCUCUGCUGACUCUUGUGUAUUCGUGCUUAUGUACCCGAGCCCUCGAGGCCCCUGGCUUGUAAUAUAAAGCUUGUAUUA
rnacentral:lncRNA from 1 species